rnacentral:rRNA from 2 species
UAACCGCCUGAACUAAGCAUAUCAAUAAGCGGAGGAAAAGAAACUACAAGGAUCCCUUAGUAACUGCGAGUGAAGUGGGAAAAGCUCAAAUUUAAAAUCUGGCAGUCUGAAUUUACUUCUUUGGCUGUCCGAGUUGUAAUCUAGAGAAGUGCUACCUGUACUGGACCAUGUACAAGUCUCCUGGGAAUGGAGCAUCACAGAGGGUGAGAAUCCCGUCUAUGACAUGGACUACCAGUGUGUUGUGGAGUACUUUCAAAGAGUCGAGUUGUUUGGGAAUGCAGCUCUAAAUGGGUGGUAAACUCCAUCUAAAGCUAAAUAUUGGCGAGAGACCGAUAGCGAACAAGUACCGUGAGGGAAAGAUGAAAAGGACUUUGGAAAGAGAGUUAAACAGUACGUGAAAUUGUUGAAAGGGAAACACUUGAUGUCAGCUGUGUUAGCUGGGGAUCAGCCUAGCUUUUUCGCUUGGCGCAUUUCCUGGUCUGACAGGCCAACAUCAGUUUCGGCUGCUGGAGAAAGGCAGAUGGAAUGUGGCACCUUUGGGUGUGUUAUAGCUUUCUGUCAGAUGUAGCAGCGGGGACUGAGGUAUGCAGUGCGCCGUAAGGCAGGGUUUCGACCACACUCGCACUUAGGAUGUUGGUUUAAUGGCAUCAAUUGACCCGUCUUGAAACACGGACCAAGGAGUCUAACAUGCCUGCGAGUAUUUGGGUGAUAAACCCUUGUGCAUAAUGAAAGUGAAAAUUGAGAUCCCUGUCAUGGGGAGCAUUGAUGCCCGGACUUGAGCUUUUAGCGAUGGAUCUGCGGUAAAGCAUGCAUGUUGGGACCCGAAAGAUGGUGAACUAUGCCUGAAUAGGGCAAAGCCAGAGGAAACUCUGGUGGAGGCUCGUAGCGAUUCUGACGUGCAAAUCGAUCGUCGAAUUUGGGUAUAGGGCGAAAGACUAAUCGAGGAGAUUAAUU